rnacentral:lncRNA from 1 species
AGUCAUUUAGCGUGACCCUUCAUCUCUCUCCCAUGUGAAACCGAAAUGUAAAAAACAAACGGCUUAACAAUCGAUUGAUGAUCCGAACGAAAAGAAGUGAGCGUGACGCCUUUGUGAACGCAACCAAAAAACCCAGCUCAUCACUCAUGACAACAUAGCCCCCGUCACCUCCACGACUUCAUCUUCUUCCAACCUAUACAUACAUUAUACUUACAACUUUUUCAUCAUCCUAACAACUCUCUCUCCCCAUUUUCCUCAUCUCCCUUCACUUUUUAUACAUUUUAAUCAUCUGGGCUGCUCUUAAAUCUUUCUAAAUUAUCAUAAUUCUCACUAUAUAUUCAUUCUUGAUUUUUGAAAAUUUUCUUGGGUUUUCUUGAAUUUUUGUGAUCAGCUCUGUUUAUUAGUCUAAGAUUCUGCUAGUUUGAUCAAAUUCUGUAGAUUUUGCUGUUCAAUUUUAUUUAUUUAGUGCAAUUUGUUUCGUUUUGUGCAAUGUUCUUGAUCAAAUGUGAUGCUUGGAUUGUUAGUUAAUGAGGUGUUGAAGU